CAGAGAGAAAAAAGCCAAUGUCAUCCAGUCCAGCUUCCCUGCACAUACUCCAGGUAAAGGACCAGAAUAUUACUGGUGGUUCUGACCCAUCUAAUUCCUCUACAAGAAUAUCUGGGGGAUGUUUCCCCCCCACUUCUUACGUUCAUGAUACUAUGAUACUACAUUUACUGCAGCUGGUGGAAUAGCAUAAUAAUUAUAUAUUAAAGUUG